rnacentral:rRNA from 1 species
GUGGGGAAUAUUGGGCAAUGGGCGAAAGCCUGACCCAGCAACGCCGCGUGAAGGAAGAAGGAUCUAUGGUUCGUAAACUUCUUUUGCAGGGGAAUAAAGUGCAGGACGUGUCCUGUUUUGUAUGUACCCUGAGAAUAAGGAUCGGCUAACUCCGUGCCAGCAGCCGCGGUAAUACGGAGGAUACGAGCGUUAUCCGGAUUUAUUGGGUUUAAAGGGUGCGUAGGUGGUUUGAUAAGUCAGCGGUGAAAGUUUGCAGCUUAACUGUAAAAAUGCCGGUGAAACUGUCGGACUUGAGUGUAAAUGAGGUAGGCGGAAUGCGUGGUGUAGCGGUGAAAUGAAUAGAUAUCACGCAGAACUCCGAUUGCGAAGGCAGCUUACUAAGCUACAACUGACACUGAAGCACGAAAGCGUGGGCAUCAAACAGGAUUAGAUACCCGGGUAGUCC